rnacentral:rRNA from 1 species
AUUGAACGCUGGCGGCAUGCCUUACACAUGCAAGUCGAACGGCAGCGCGGGUGCUUGCACCUGGCGGCGAGUGGCGAACGGGUGAGUAAUAUAUCGGAACGUGCCCUAGAGUGGGGGAUAACGUAGCGAAAGUUACGCUAAUACCGCAUACGAUCUACGGAUGAAAGUGGGGGAUCGCAAGACCUCAUGCUCCUGGAGCGGCCGAUAUCUGAUUAGCUAGUUGGUGGGGUAAAGGCCCACCAAGGCGACGAUCAGUAGCUGGUCUGAGAGGACGACCAGCCACACUGGGACUGAGACACGGCCCAGACUCCUACGGGGGGCAGCAGUGGGGAAUUUUGGACAAUGGGGGCAACCCUGAUCCAGCAAUGCCGCGUGAGUGAAGAAGGCCUUCGGGUUGUAAAGCUCUUUUGUCAGGGAAGAAACGGUCUGGGUUAAUACCCUGGGCUAAUGACGGUACCUGAAGAAUAAGCACCGGCUAACUACGUGCCAGCAGCCGCCGUAACAC